rnacentral:rRNA from 1 species
AUUGAACGCUGGCGGCAGGCCUAACACAUGCAAGUCGAGCGAGCGGCGGACGGGUGAGUAAUGUAUGGGGAUCUGCCUGAUAGAGGGGGAUAACUACUGGAAACGGUCGCUAAUACCGCAUACCAUCGGAUGAACCCAUAUGGGAUUAGCUAGUCGGUGGGGUAACGGCUAUCCUAGGCGACGAUCUCUAGCUGGUCUGAGAGGAUGAUCAGCCAAACUGGGACUGAGACACGGCCCAGACUCCUACGGGAGGCAGCAGUGGGGAAUAUUGCACAAUGGGCGCAAGCCUGAUACAGCCAUGCCGCGUGUAUGAAGAAGGCCUUAGGGUUGUAAAGUACUUUCAGCGGGGAGGCGUUACCCGCAGAAGAAGCACCGGCUAACUCCGUGCCAGCAGCCGCGGUAAUUC